AGCUGUAGUCGAUGCUCAUCCUGCGCUCGGGUUUUCGGUUUCACUGACAGCACAGGAACACGAGACACAAGCAACAACAAGCCGGUUACAGAAAUCCCCGAGUGUCCAACGGCAGCAGCGCGCGACGUGAAGCCAAUUAUUAUACGUCAUCAAGAUGCGCGGAAGGAUUUGUGUAUAAAAGUGAGCGACGCGCGUGUGUACACAUAUAUACACACUACAUUGUUUUGAUCAGAGUUAAAAUCAUGCAUUUCUAAAAGCACCAACCCCAAAGCCAUUAAAUCCUCUGAUAAACUGUAAUGUCUUUAACUGUAACUGUGUUCUUGUAUGUUUGUUCAAGUGUUUAUCAGAGUUGUUUUUUUUUAUUUAAUUUUUUUAAUUUCAAUUUUAUUAUUUUGCACAUUCUACACUUUAUAAAUAAAGUUAAAUAAAUAAAUAAAUUCCCACUACACAAAGUAACUGUACUUGUAGUGGCCAAAACACCAAUAAUGUGACAAUGCUGUGUGUUUUUGCUGACAUGUAUUUUUAUUUCUACUGUGAAUGUAAUAACACUGUCAAAAUUGACGUACUGCAAGAAA